rnacentral:rRNA from 1 species
CCCUUAGAUGUCCUGGGCCGCACGCGCGCUACACUGACAUGUUCAACAAGCCUCCUAGUUCGGCAGGAUUUGGGAAAUCUUUGAACGCAUGUCGUGAUAGGGAUAGAUCAUUGCAAUUAUUGAUCUUGAACGAGGAAUUCCUAGUAAACGCGAGUCAUCAGCUCGCAUUGAUUACGUCCCUGCCCUUUGUACACACCGCCCGUCGCACCUACCGAUUGAAUGUUUCGGUGAAGAUUCCGGAUAGGACUUUUUUGAUUUAUUUCAAUUUUGUCUUAAAAGCUAUCUAAACCUCAACAUUUAGAGGAAGGUGAAGUCGUAACA